UACAGAGGUCUCAAGCGUUGUUCGGAUUCAUUGGGCGUAAAGGGUGCGUAGGCGGCGCGGUAAGUCGGGUGUGAAAUCUCGGGGCUUAACUCCGAAACUGCAUUCGAUACUGCCGUGCUUGAGGACUGGAGAGGAGACUGGAAUUUACGGUGUAGCGGUGAAAUGCGUAGAUAUCGUAAGGAAGACCAGUGGCGAAGGCGGGUCUCUGGUCAGUUCCUGACGCUGAGGCACGAAGGUCAGGGGAGCAAACGGG
rnacentral:rRNA from 1 species